rnacentral:rRNA from 1 species
UACGUAUGGAGCAAGCGUUAUCCGGAUUUACUGGGUGUAAAGGGAGCGCAGGCGGUCUAGCAAGUCUGAUGUGAAAGGCCGGGGCUCAACUCCGGGACUGCAUUGGAAACUGUCAGACUGGAGUGUCGGAGAGGUAAGCGGAAUUCCUAGUGUAGCGGUGAAAUGCGUAGAUAUUAGGAGGAACACCAGUGGCGAAGGCGGCUUACUGGACGAUGACUGACGCUGAGGCUCGAAAGCGUGGGGAGCAAACAGG